rnacentral:lncRNA from 1 species
AAGGGAGCCUGAAGAGCUGGUCCUUAUACAGCUUUCUGAAAUCCCUGAGAUCUGUCAAUGAAUCGCGCAUCUUUCACUCCACAAGUAUUUGUUGAACGUCAUUGUGAUCAUGCUGGCUGCUGUGUGGAGAAAAGACCGAGGGGAAGUAAAAGAACAAAGAACAAAAGAGAACAUGAUGGCUUGGAUCAAGCCUGGUUCUUGACUAUCCCCUAAAAUUGUCAGUCAGUAGAAGCUCACUGAGUAUCAUCUGAAUUUAAAUCACCAUUAGCUCCCUUCUGAUGAAGCAGGAGUUGACUCAGCUGGGCUUUCAGCUGGACACGGAAAGCGGAGGUAGAUGAAUUGUCAUGAUCAAGUGGGUGUCAUCAAGUACUUAGAAAGGUUUCAUUUUGUUCCUACUGUCUUUCCAACUUACUAAUAAAAAUAUUGAAAUCUA